rnacentral:rRNA from 1 species
UAGUGGCGAACGGGUGAGUAACACGUGAGCAAUCUGCCCUUGACUCUGGGAUAAGCGUUGGAAACGACGUCUAAUACCGGAUACGACCUUGGAAGGCAUCUUCUGGGGUGGAAAGAAUUUUGGUCAAGGAUGAGCUCGCGGCCUAUCAGCUAGUUGGUGAGGUAAUGGCUCACCAAGGCGACGACGGGUAGCCGGCCUGAGAGGGUGACCGGCCACACUGGGACUGAGACACGGCCCAGACUCCUACGGGAGGCAGCAGUGGGGAAUAUUGCACAAUGGGCGAAAGCCUGAUGCAGCAACGCCGCGUGAGGGACGACGGCCUUCGGGUUGUAAACCUCUUUUAGUAGGGAAGAAGCGAAAGUGACGGUACCUGCAGAAAAAGCACCGGCUAACUACGUGCCAGCAGCCGCGGUAAUACGUAGGGUGCAAGCGUUGUCCGGAAUUAUUGGGCGUAAAGAGCUCGUAGGCGGUUUGUCGCGUCUGCUGUGAAAACCCGAGGCUCAACCUCGGGCCUGCAGUGGGUA